UACGAAGGGGGCUAGCGUUGUUCGGAAUUACUGGGCGUAAAGGGCGCGUAGGCGGUGUGUCAAGUCAGGCGUGAAAGCCCCGGGCUCAACCUGGGAACCGCGCUUGAGACUGGCACGCUCGAGUUCGGGAGAGGAUGGUGGAAUUCCCAGUGUAGGGGUGAAAUGCGUAGAUAUCUGGAGGAACACCGGUGGCGAAGGCGGCAUCCUGGACCGACACUGACGCUGAGGCGCGAAAGCUAGGGUAGCAAACGGG
rnacentral:rRNA from 1 species